rnacentral:tRNA from 1 species
UCCCUAGUGGUCCAGUGGUUAGGACGUGGUGCUUUCGCUCCUGGGGCCCAGGGUUCGAUUCCUAGUCAGGGAA